UUUAGUUGUCAUCGACCAUUUUACUCGGUUCGCUCAAGCCUACCUAACCAAAAAUAAAUCUGGACAAACCGCAGCGAAUCUAUAAUGAUUAUGUACCUCGUUUUGGAUACCCAAAUAAACUCCACCACGACCAAGGGCGUGAGUUCGAAAAUGUACUCUUCAGAACACUUGGACGGCUGUCAGGUGUCGGUCAUUCUCGAACAUCCCCGUACCACCCCCAAUGUAACCCAGUGGAGCGUUUCAACCGAACGCUGCUGCAAAUGUUAAGAACCCUGGAAGAAAAGGAAAAGGAUAAAUGGAAAGAACAUCUUCCACUGAUUGUACAUGCGUAUAACUGUACGCGCCACGAGUCAACUGGGCACUCACCCCAUUACUUACUCUAUGGACAGCACCCUCGCCUCCCUGUGGAUCUCUUGUUUGGAUUACUUGAGGAGACAGACCCGGUAACACACACAGGAUAUGCGGCGAAAUGGUCAAAAAGGAUGAAAGAGGCAUACCAAAUUGCAACCAAAAACAGCCUAGCCUCUAGUGCUAAGGGCAAGUCCUAUUAUGAUCAAAAGGUGAGAGGCGUAGUUCUAAAACCAGGAGACAGAGUGCUAGUUCGGAACUUAAGAGAGCGAGGAAGGCCUGGAAAAUUGCGCUCGUACUGGGAGAAGAGGAUAUAUGUGGUAAAAGAGCAGGUCUCAGACAAUCCAGUGUAUAUCAUUCAACCAGAAGGAGACUACAAAGGAAAAACCAGAACCUUACACAGAAAUCUGCUACUGCUAGUCAAUGACUUACCGGUUGAAUCAACACCACAGUCAGCCAACGCAGUUGCAAAACCACCACAAAGGCAAAAUAAGUCUCAGCUGAGAGCAAGCGCUACAACAGACCUGGCUCAAAGUGAGGAGACAUCAGACUCCGAUGAUGAAUGGACAGGAGGUAACUGGCUGAGGACGCCUGUAAACAGGAUGGGACAAAGCCAAGAACCAUCGUCAUCUGCAAAGGCCGCAGUUCAGACUCCUAGUAAACCUGCCAUAACCCACAGAGAACAUGCAAAUACAUUACCUGAAAGAGGGGAUGAACAAUACAUACCUGAAAUAGAGGACUUACAAAACAUUCCUGAAAGAGAGGAUGAUCAAAACGAUCCUGAAAGAGAUGUGAUGUUGAUGGGAGAUAGAACACAGACAAAUGAACUAUCGGACGCUGAAAACAUGCCAGAGCAUGAGGAAGGCGAACAAGAUGGAUACCCUCAACAAAGACAGGAAGAGAGGCUUAUUCCCCCCCUUGUGGUGUCUAGUCCUGCAAGAGAUGUAUACAGAGAAGUCGGCCAGAGAGAGGAGACCAAGACAGUUAUUUACAUAUGAUACACUUGGCCAACCCUCUCUACAUGCUUACAUAGACACAGUCUUCACUUGCACUACACCAUCCCACAUACCUUCUCUUAGUAUGCCACACUACAUCCGACCAUUGUUCUCAUCUUUGCCCUACACAUCACCUAUGUACAUGCCAUACACAUAUUACAUGCCAUACACCACACCUGUUUACCAAUGGGGAAAUAUAAGUUUUUGAGGUGUUGUAAAUGUCAGGGGCCCUUUUUAUUUUGUCGGGGAGUGUGUGAUGCCCACUAAUGUUUGCCCACAUUUGUGUAUAUUACGUUUUUAUAUACUACACCAUUUUAUAUUAUUAAGACACAAUAUUUCCUACUAAAUUGAUCUUAUUUUGUAUGAGCAAUAUCUUUUAUAGUUUUACAUUUUCACAAUGCAAGUGCACUAUCCUGCCAGUAGGAGGCACAGUAAUAUUGUGGUUUGCCUGAAUCCCCGUGAGAUCCUCAUAACUAAUGAGGAUCUGAAAAGACAAGUCACGUCUCCCGUGUCAGCUUUCUUUUCUCUUUGUUUCAGGUGGGUUAUGUGUUUAAAAUGUAAAACAAGUUGAUGUUAGUGAUUGGAUAAUGUGUAGUGAAAUGUUUUAGUAAAGUAUGAGUGUUAAAAUGAGUACAUGUGUAGCUACUAGUAAGGUCCGACGCUCGCCGAGAGAUUUGUAAUGACGGCGCUGUUGGAAGUUUUACCGUUAGGCUAGUAGCUUUAAGCUAGUACCAACCACGCUCGUCUCUACCUUUUUGUUUUAUUGUAAUAACGCCACACGUGGCUCACUUCUUGACGUUUUGUAAAGUAUUCAAAUGUUUAUUGAUUGUUGUAAAGCACUUUAUAGAUACUGUUAAAAACGGGUUAAGAAAAGUUAUUUGAAGUUCAGUAAUAAGAAAAUGUUUGAUAUAGCCUACAAGGUAGGUUCUGUUAAAAAUACUAGUUCAGUAAAACCUAUUGGGUUUGAAGAGCAUUAAAGAUGCACCUUGUACAAACUGUUUAUUGUAUCAGAGAGAUGAAAGAACAACACUGUGAGAAAAGGUGUGUUUUGAAUUGAAGAGUAUUUUUUGUGUAUUUUGGUUUGUUUUAAGAACAUGGAAAAUAUGUCUAAUUAGACAACAUAUGGAGUAAUAUGAUGCUGAGUUUAAAAUGCAUGGACAAUGUGAAGAUAAACGGUAACCUUCAGUAAAUUGAGAAGUUAAAUGAAUAAAUAUAACUAAUGAGGAUCUGAAAAGAC
ensembl:lncRNA